rnacentral:snRNA from 1 species
AGAAUAGCGUCUGGGAGAGUUUC